UGUGUGUGUGUGUGUGUGCGUUUGUCAAAGUGACAUAUGGGGACAUUUUUAUGAAAUUUCACCUUACAUAUGAGGACCUGUUGAAAUAUGGGGACAUUUUCCAUGUCCCCAUAUUUCCCGCAAUGCUAUCGUGUUCUAGACCCUCCCAGCAUGUUCCCAGACCAAAAAUCUCUAAAGUCUUCAUUUGUCAAAUUUUCAGAAAAAGUGUGUGAAAGUGUGUUUAAUUUUUUUGGUCACCUUCGAUUUUGCCCCUAGUGGCCAUCUUUGCUAUUAUGACACACACACACACACACUUGUCCUCAUAUGUCAUAUGUCCUCAUAUGUCAUGUGGGUCAGAAACUCACACACUCCGACAUUUUGAAAAACAUCUAACCAUUACAGCAAUAAACAUACUCUUGAAUUCUGAAUCAAAUAACAACACAUUUUCAACUGAUCUGAUGAUCUCAUCCUUUUUAGUGUUAAUUUUAUCUAUUAAUUUGGUUUAUCUGGAGAGGAUUUGGGCUAGACAAUUAGUAAUAAAGGGAUUAUGGUGAUGAUUUAAUUUGUUUGAUUCAGUAUUUUACUGUAUUGGACUUUUUGCUAUUCUGUUGACUAAAAUACAAUGCCGCACAAUAAUUGCUUUAAAUGUGCCUGAAAUGUAGGUUUUUGCAUAAAAAAAAACAACCUUCAACCUUGAUUGAGACAAAGGCAAUAAUUCAAAUGCAAUUCAAACUACACACAGUAUUUAAUAUUUUCAAAUGGUUACAAUAGCACAUUAUUUGGGUAUUUUUAUCUUUGGGGCAAAUUUAGGAUUAAUAUGGGGAUUGUUUUUGGAGGUAUUCACUUUACAUGGUGUUCAAGAUGGUUACUUCCGCCCACUCUGAAGAGUCUCGGCGUCUGAUUGGUCCAAUUUUCAGUUAGGCGCCGCCUGAUUGGCCGCUGGACGAUGUCUGCUCCUAACAGAGGGCUAAAUCACUAGUUAACUAUUUUCAUCAUGGAAAUUAUACAGCUCACGUAUCACACUUAAUAUUGAAUAUAUAUAAAAAGGGUUUUCCAAAAGGACCACUUAUAAUCGAAAUACAAAACUUCACACACGAUUUUGAGCACAACAGAGCGCUCAGUGAACAGCACUUCCGGGACCUGCAGCACCAGAGGGGGACAUCUAUCUUGGCCACAAACCAUCUUUGACAGUCUUCGGCAGCAUGGUUGAAUCAGGCGCAUCAACACAUGAUAUAGACAUCGUGCCCAAAAGAAGAGCGAGACGUAAUCCUGAGGCUGAAGCUACCGAGUUUAUUUGAUCUGGAUGUGACAAGUCUUGUUUUAAGGCCCAGUGGAUCAAUGAUUGGAAAGACACCAACUGUUGAUGUUCUAUCUCAACAUUCUCCAGACUCAUGUGACCGAUAAACCGACUUCAUCCCUCCAACAGACACCAACUGUUGGGGUUCUAUCUCAACAUUCUCCAGAUUCAGAUGUGAGCGAUAAACCGACUUCAUCCCUCCAACAGACACCAACUGUUGGGGUUCUAUCUCAACAUUCUCCAGAUUCAGAUGUGAGCGAUAAACCGACUUCAUCCCUCCAACAGAAACCAACUGUUGAGGUUCCAUCUCAACAUUCUCCAGAUUCAGAUGUGAGCCAUUAACUGACUUCAUCCCUCCAACAGAAACCAACUGUUGAGGUUCUAUCUCAACAUUCUCUAGAUUCAGAUGACAGCCAUAAACCGACUUCAUCCCUCCAACAGAUUGACAGCAGGACAAAUCGCUGGAAGUAGGUAUGUCUCAAGCUUCUUCCACUUGGUCCACUCCAAAGCGGGCUGCAAAGGGGAAGAAGUGGAAGCAGUUGAAUGACACAUGUUGCAUUUUGUAACUGGCAACAAAGUACCAGGUAAAAAAGAUUGUGAAGCCUGCCUCCAUAAAGAACUAGUAGCUCUACAGGACAGAGAUUGGCUUGCCAUCAAGUACUACAUCCAUAACAGAAUUAUAUUAAAAAAAGGGGAAAAAAAUGUUUUCCCACAUCUUCUGUGGUAGUUUGAGUAUGUUACCAGCAAUUAAAAAAGCAAAAUAAA